ACAGCUCAAAUUUGAAAUCUGGUCCCCAGGGCCCGAGUUGUAAUUUGUAGAGGAUGCUUUUGGCAAGGUGCCUUCCGAGUUCCCUGGAACGGGACGCCAUAGAGGGUGAGAGCCCCGUCUGGUCGGAUACCGCGCCUCUGUAAAGCUCCUUCGACGAGUCGAGUAGUUUGGGAAUGCUGCUCAAAAUGGGAGGUAUAUGUCUUCUAAAGCUAAAUAUUGGCCAGAGACCGAUA
rnacentral:rRNA from 1 species